rnacentral:rRNA from 1 species
CAAUAGCGUAUAUUAAAGUUGUUGCAGUUAGAACGCUCGUAGUCGGAUUUCGGGGCGGGCCGACCGGUCUGCCGAUGGGUACGCACUGGUCGGCGCGUCCUUCCUUCCGGAGACCGUGCCUACUCUUAACUGAGCGGGGGCGGGAGACGGAUCGUUUACUUUGAAAAAAUCAGAGUGUUUCAAGCAGGCAGCUCGCUCUUGCAUGGAUUAGCAUGGGAUAAUGAAAUAGGACUUUGGUGCUAUUUUGUUGGUUUCGAACACCGAAGUAAUGAUUAAAAGGGACAGUCAGGGGCACUCGUAUUCCGCCGAGAGAGGUGAAAUUCUCAGACCAGCGGAAGACGAACCACUGCGAAAGCAUUUGCCAGGGAUGUUUUCACUG